rnacentral:rRNA from 1 species
ACGGAAGGUCCGGGCGUUAUCCGGAUUUAUUGGGUUUAAAGGGAGCGUAGGCCGUUUGGUAAGCGUGUUGUGAAAUGUCGGGGCUCAACCUGGGCAUUGCAGCGCGAACUGUCAGACUUGAGUGCGCAGGAAGUAGGCGGAAUUCGUCGUGUAGCGGUGAAAUGCUUAGAUAUGACGAAGAACUCCGAUUGCGAAGGCAGCCUGCUGUAGCGCAACUGACGCUGAAGCUCGAAAGCGUGGGUAUCGAACAG